UUUUUUGAAUAUUAAAAACUAUUUAAAAUGAAUUAAAAAUAAGCAGAAAAGAGAAAAUUCUUAAAAAAUAUCAAAUGAUAAAAUAAAAAAUAUAAAAAAUCAUUUUUAGAAACUAGAAAUUAAAAGAAGAAAAAUGAAAUUGUUCUCACAUUUUUUGGACCAAUAAUGAAGGAGAUAUGAAUUUUUAAGAUGAAAUGGAAUUAAAAGAAAUAAAAGAAAAUAAAAUCAGAAUUUAAAAAAUGCGAAUAAGCGUGGACCGUCUGAUGGAAUCUCAUUAAUUGGUGUGGAUCAUCACGUGGCCAGGAGGCGCGCGUUUACCAUACACUCCAGU
rnacentral:lncRNA from 1 species